rnacentral:rRNA from 1 species
AGAGUUUGAUCAUGGCUCAGGACGAACGCUUGCGGCGUGCCUAAGAAAUGCAAGUCGAGCGGGGGCAGCAAUGCCCCAGCGGCGAACGGUCGCGUAACACGUAAGCAACCUGCCCGGAAGUGGGGGACAACGGCCCGAAAGGGCCGCUAAUACCGCAUGUGGCCGGCGAGGGGCAUCCCUCGCCGUCUGAAGCCUUGUGCGCUUCCGGAUGGGCUUGCGGCCUAUCAGCUUGUUGGCGGGGUGACGGCCCACCAAGGCUUCGACGGGUAGCUGGUCUGAGAGGACGAUCAGCCGGAUUGGGACUGAGAUACGGCCCAGACUCCUACGGGGGGCAGCAAUUAGGAAUCUUGCGCAAUGGGGGCAACCCUGACGCAGCGACGCCGCGUGGAGGAGGAAGGCCCUCGGGUCGUAAACUCCUUUUGACAGGGAAGAAGGAUGUGACGGUACCUGUCGAAUAAGCCCCGGCUAACUACGUGCCAGCAGCCGCGGUAAUACGUAGGGGGCGAGCGUUGUCCGAAGUUACUGGGCGUAAAGCGCGCGUAGGCGGCCUCUUAAGUUCGGGGUGAAAGGUCCAGCGCUCAACGCGGACAGUGCCUUGGAUACUGGGGGGCUUGAGUGUGGGAGGGGGUAGCGGAAUUCCGGGUGUAGCGGUGAAAUGCGUAGAUAUCCGGAGGAACACCGAUGGCGAAGGCAGCUACCUGGCCUGACACUGACGCUGAGGUGCGAAAGCGUGGGGAGCGAACGGGAUUAGAUACCCCAGUAGUCC